rnacentral:lncRNA from 1 species
UUUAUCAUGGAUUAACAAAUUGGAAAUGCUGAAAAUCCCCUUAUAGGGUUUGUUGAUUUGCAGAUUAUUUACUGGGAAAUGUAAUUGAGCAAUGCUGCGACUGGCCUGCUACUUGUGAUUAUGGGGGCCUCCCAGGGGAUCAUAUUAAUACCAAAAUUACUUAGCUUUUUAUUAAUCAAUUAUGGGCUUCUUUAUUUAGGGGAU